UAUAAUUAAGAAGAAAGGCAACACCGCCACAGUGAUAAAGCAAAGAGAAAAAGCGUGGCAAUAUAGUGCGUAUUAAUAAAAGGACACCACAUCCUGCCAAAUUCCAGCUGCGCUAAUUGUAUUGUGUUCACAGAGCUCACAAGCUAUCAGAAAGUUGUAUGGCAACCACCUCCGGCGCCAAAUAGAACUGGCAGACAUAGACAUUCAGUACAAGAAGAAAAAGAUGGAAAAUCUUGCACUGGAGUUCGAAAUAAAAAAAGAGGACAAUUAGGAAACUGGACCUUGAAAUAAAAAAACUUGAGAGGGAGCUCCAAGAAGAUGACACAGCUCAAAAUAAAAAUUAGCAAUCAGUACAACCAAGUCAUCGUUAUAAGGCAUCGCCCUCUUUUGCCCACCCCCCAGCACCAGGUGUGGCCACUAGCCUAUAUGAAGGCCCAAAAUUGUGUGUUCCUUUCUGCUCUGACAAUGGCAUGCCCAUUCGUGCGAGAUGUGG
ensembl:lncRNA